rnacentral:rRNA from 1 species
UAACGCGUGAGGAACCUGCCUCAAAGAGGGGGACAACAGUUGGAAACGACUGCUAAUACCGCAUAAGCCCACAGGUCGGCAUCGACCAGAGGGAAAAGGAGCAAUCCGCUUUGAGAUGGCCUCGCGUCCGAUUAGCUAGUUGGUGAGGUAACGGCCCACCAAGGCAACGAUCGGUAGCCGGACUGAGAGGUUGAACGGCCACAUUGGGACUGAGACACGGCCCAGACUCCUACGGGAGGCAGCAGUGGGGAAUAUUGCACAAUGGGGGAAACCCUGAUGCAGCGACGCCGCGUGGAGGAAGAAGGUCUUCGGAUUGUAAACUCCUGUUGUUGAGGAAGAUAAUGACGGUACUCAACAAGGAAGUGACGGCUAACUACGUGCCAGCAGCCGCGGUAAAACGUAGGUCACAAGCGUUGUCCGGAAUUACUGGGUGUAAAGGGAGCGCAGGCGGGAAGACAAGUUGGAAGUGAAAUCUAUGGGCUCAACCCAUAAACUGCUUUCAAAACUGUUUCUCUUGAGUAGUGCAGAGGUAGGCGGAAUUCCCGGUGUAGCGGUGGAAUGCGUAGAUAUCGGGAGGAACACCAGUGGCGAAGGCGGCCUACUGGGCACCAACUGACGCUGAGGCUCGAAAGUGUGGGUAGCAAACAGGAUUAGAUACCCUGGUAGUCCACACCGUAAACGAUGAUUACUAGGUGU